AUGCCUGGUGCCUCGCUCGAUUAGACAUACUUCUACGUUUGAUCUUGAGCUGGAUGGUUAUGCUGAUCUGGAUCUUUUUUAUUUUGCAGUUUCAGCAUUGAACCAAAGGGCUAUAUCAAAUAGACUUCUUUUGAGUACGGAAAGGCCUUAUCUUCCCAAUGACCUUAUUUCGUAAUUAGAAGCGCUCACAUCU
rnacentral:snoRNA from 1 species